rnacentral:rRNA from 1 species
GCCUUCUGGGUUGUAAACUGCUUUUGUCAGGGGAUAAAAAGCUCGUGCGCGAGAAAUUGAAUGUACCUGGCGAAUAAGCCACGGCUAACUACGUGCCAGCAGCCGCGGUAAUACGUAGGGUGCGAGCGUUAAUCGGAAUUACUGGGCGUAAAGCGUGCGCAGGCGGGACAUGCAAGACAGAUGUGAAAUCCCCGGGCUCAACCUGGGAACUGCAUAUGUGACUGUAUGAUUGGAGUACCGGCAGAGGGGGAUGGAAUUCCGCGUGUAGCAGUGAAAUGCGUAGAUAUGCGGAGGAACACCGAUGGCGAAGGCAAUCCCCUGGGCCAGUACUGACGCUCAUGCACGAAAGCGUGGGGAGCAAACAGGNAUUAGAUACCCUGGUAGUCC